UUAGUUCUAAAGCAACUAUAUUAAUUAGUGGCCCAAUUCUUCUCAAAGUUACUAGGAUGUAAGUCCUUCUUACCCUCAAUCUACCAGACAACUCCCUUGACCUCAACCAAGUCUUUGUGGAUCAGCAGUGCUCGAUCAAGUUUACUGCAGUAAACUUUAGAGGUGGUUUACCACUUAACCAGAGCACUUUUAACGAAACUCCCACCACGGUUGGAACCUCCCCAGGAAGGACUCCAUCCCAGACAUCGGUUGUCAUUGCUUGUGGCACUGUGUGCACCAGUGCGCGCGGUGACCACCGCUUUGGCAUGCAAUGCGCGCGCUCUGCUGGCGUUGGCCCCGUCCAGGGCGUCUUCUUGCUCGGGCCCCUCCUCCUCUCGUCGCCUUCGCGCUCAUGAACCUGUCCAACAGCUGGCCCGCAUCGUCGUCGUCCUCCUGGAGCUAUCUCCCCCUCCGUCAGCCCCUCUAUCAGUGCUCGUCGCCGCGCGCCCACGGGCGUACUGUGGCCGACUGAGCAUUAACGGCGCCGUGGCCGUUUCCCCUCUUGUCCUCGAUCUCCGCUCGUCUCCGUGACCUCUGUGGCUCGUCCGUUGCCUUCGUCGUCGCCUUCCCCGAGCUCAUGCGCAAGCACACGCGUCCGCGGCACCGGCCACGUGUUUGCAGUGACGCCAGCGCGGCAAGCCCUCGCCCUGCCUAUAAAUAGGCCUUCCCCGAGCCGUUCGAGCACACCAGCGGCCUCCGCACACUCCUCUAGCCCUCCCCAGCCCCUCGCCCAAGCCUCUGGAGCUCUCCUACUCCACCAUUGCUACCAUGGCCGCCGCGGCCACUCUCCUCGAUUUGCUCAAGCCCGAGCCCCUCUCCCACUUCCUCCUCCAUUAAAGCUCCUACCAGCCCCUGGCGGAGCUCCCUCACCGUUCCCCUACUCUACCCGAGCCCCGUAGCACCUGGUUCACCGGCGCCCGAAGCAGUCGUCCGCCGCGGCUGGCUUCCCGCGCUCUUCCAAGCUCGUCGGUGGCCGUACCCUACCUGAAGGGGACCGCCUCAUCCUGCUGAUCAUGCCAGUAGGUCAGGUGCCUCGAAUGGUGGACCAUGCCGCCGGCUAUCGUCGUCGGGCCGGCCGGCCUCGCCCUCUGUCUCCUCCCCGUCGCGAGCUAGAAGAAGGAGCCAGGAGGAGAGCGAGUGGAUAAGGCGGGACCCGCCCGUCAGCCGCACGGCGCCCCGUUCCCCCCCACCUAGCUGGAUAAGUGACGGGCCCCACAGCCCGUGGGACCCGCACGUCAGCGAAACAAGCCCCGGCCCCGCCCCUGCUGACUGGAUUAAGUGGAGGCGUACUUAGUCGAGUACGUUUUCACCUCGGGAAAGAGUAUUUUCCCUCUGCUUCAGCUCAGAGGACUUGUUUGUGAUGAUAUUUUUGCAGAAAAGUGCCUGAACUUCAACCCUUCGUAUCUUUUUAACCACAACUCCAAAUGAGCCCCUCCAAGAGAGAACUGUUUUCGGCAAAUCUUUUCGCGGCUUCACCACACUUUUUCCCGGUGCCUUCUUCACCCCCAGGCAAGC